GAGUUUGAUCAUGGCUCAGAUUGAACGCUGGCGGCAGGCUUAACACAUGCAAGUCGAACGGUAGCAGGAAGAAAGCUUGCUUUCUUUGCUGACGAGUGGCGGACGGGUGAGUAAUGCUUGGGAAUCUGGCUUAUGGAGGGGGAUAACUGUGGGAAACUGCAGCUAAUACCGCGUAGUAUCGAGAGAUGAAAGGGUGGGACCUUCGGGCCACCUGCCAUAAGAUGAGCCCAAGUGGGAUUAGGUAGUUGGUGGGGUAAAGGCCUACCAAGCCGACGAUCUCUAGCUGGUCUGAGAGGAUGACCAGCCACACUGGGACUGAGACACGGCCCAGACUCCUACGGGAGGCAGCAGUGGGGAAUAUUGCGCAAUGGGGGGAACCCUGACGCAGCCAUGCCGCGUGAAUGAAGAAGGCCUUCGGGUUGUAAAGUUCUUUCGGUAAUGAGGAAGGGGUAUUAUUGAAUAGAUAAUAUCAU
rnacentral:rRNA from 1 species